ACGGGUGCGUAACGCGUAUGCAAUCUGCCUUUCACAGAGGGAUAGCCCAGAGAAAUUUGGAUUAAUACCUCAUAGUAUUAUGUUUCGGCAUCGGAAUAUAAUUAAAGUCACAACGGUGAAAGAUGAGCAUGCGUCCCAUUAGCUAGUUGGUAAGGUAACGGCUUACCAAGGCUACGAUGGGUAGGGGUCCUGAGAGGGAGAUCCCCCACACUGGUACUGAGACACGGACCAGACUCCUACGGGAGGCAGCAGUGAGGAAUAUUGGACAAUGGGCGCAAGCCUGAUCCAGCCAUGCCGCGUGCAGGAUGACGGUCCUAUGGAUUGUAAACUGCUUUUGUACGAGAAGAAACAUCCCGACGUGUCGGGACUUGACGGUAUCGUAAGAAUAAGGAUCGGCUAACUCCGUGCCAGCAGCCGCGGUAAUACGGAGGAUCCAAGCGUUAUCCGGAAUCAUUGGGUUUAAAGGGUCCGUAGGCGGUUUAGUAAGUCAGUGGUGAAAGCCCAUCGCUCAACGGUGGAACGGCCAUUGAUACUGCUGAACUUGAAUUAUUAGGAAGUAACUAGAAUAUGUAGUGUAGCGGUGAAAUGCUUA
rnacentral:rRNA from 1 species